GCCGAGAUGGCGAAAUGGCAGACGCGCUAGGUUGAGGGCCUAGUGGAGGCAACUCCAUGUGGGUUCAAGUCCCACUCUCGGCACCA
rnacentral:tRNA from 1 species